GACGCUGGCGGCAGGCUUAACACAUGCAAGUCGAACGCAUCCUUCGGGGUGAGUGGCAGACGGGUGAGUAACGCGUGGGAACGUGCCCUUCAGUUCGGAAUAACCCAGGGAAACUUGGGCUAAUACCGGAUACGUGCGAGAGCAGAAAGAUUUAUCGCUGAAGGAUCGGCCCGCGUCUGAUUAGCUAGUUGGUGAGGUAAUGGCUCACCAAGGCGACGAUCAGUAGCUGGUCUGAGAGGAUGAUCAGCCACAUUGGGACUGAGACACGGCCCAAACUCCUACGGGAGGCAGCAGUGGGGAAUAUUGGACAAUGGGCGCAAGCCUGAUCCAGCCAUGCCGCGUGAGUGAUGAAGGCCUUAGGGUUGUAAAGCUCUUUCGUCCGGGACGAUAAUGACGGUACCGGAAGAAGAAGCCCCGGCUAACUUCGU
rnacentral:rRNA from 1 species